rnacentral:tRNA from 1 species
UCCCUGGUUGUCUAGUGGUUAGGAUUUGGUGCCUUCACUGCUUUGGCCUGGGUUCAAUUCCUGGUCAGGGAA